GUGGUGGCUCAGAGGUAGAGCACUUGCCGGGCACGUGUGAGGCCCUGGGUUCGAUCCUCAGCACCACA
rnacentral:tRNA from 1 species